GCCAAAUCCUAUUCUGGAGCGCUUUUAUCAUCAUCUUGAGUUAAAAUCAAAGCAACCAGAUGCAGCUGUACCUCCACUAGACAGAACACUCAAGAAGAUAACUGAACCUGAUCCACAACUUUUUUCUGAAAGCAAAUCUGUUAUUGAAGCAUUCUGUAAAAGCUUUGAAGUUAAGGAGAAUCCAAAGCUUAAAAAAUCAACCAGGCGACUAUUGCAAGAGAAGCCUUCUGGCUCAGAUGAUGAAGGGGGUUAUGGAGACACGUCAAAUGCUCUAGCCAUCAAGUCUGAUGAAAGCCAACUCUUAGCUAAGGCUGAUAAAAUUGGGGAUUUAACUCCUGUCCAAGAUUUUGAAGCCAUGAUGUCCCGCA
rnacentral:misc_RNA from 1 species